GCCCUAGGGACUAUGGGAUUUGUAAUAAAGACACCAGACGAAGCGCCCUCUAACUGCAGCCGGGAAUGGACUCCCGUGUUUGAGGUUGUGCUUUGCAAUACACACAGUCCUCAGGGUGCUGUCAGCAACACACAAGGCCCAUAAAACAAAAAGAUGGAGAGACAGCGGCCAUCAAGAGGAAUGUAUGGACAGCAGAUGAAAACUCAGCAAAAGAGAGAAAAGCAAAACCAAAUCCUAGAGGAGAAAAUGAACGCAAGUGCACAGCGGAACCCUGGGAACGCUGAGCAGUGGGUGCACCAUGACUUUCUGAAGCAAUGAGGGGCGGACGGAAACAAGACAGCAGGCCUGUGCAGAAAGCUGUAGGUACCACCAAGGGGGAGUAAGACCUGUAGCUCCUCGGGUUGGCCAGGCCGUUAAGGAAGAUGUAGAUUAUGUGCAUACUAACAGGAAAGACCUGACCCCAUCUCCCGACUCAGUUCCAACAGCUAAACCAAUACCUUCAAGAAAAUAGGAAAAAGCAGAUACCAAAUCAAACGAAGAAAAACACUUGUGCUUGUGAGCAAAGAAUUUACCCUACCAAAAUUAAUGUCUCCAACAAUGCAACCUGAGGGAAAACCAUAAACAGCACACAUCCACUGGCUUGGCAUGUGGUGUGACUUUGUUCUGAAAUUUAAGUGGACAGCUAAGAAUGGCCAGAUAUCUGACUAAGAGUAUGGGAGGGUUGGGGGGGGGGGAGACAAAAUGAACAGAAGGGGGGAAAAAAAAGAGGAGGCGAGCGGAAAGCACGGAAAACGGAGCGGUGCAGUGGCCAAAAGACAUUUAAAACCAAAAUGUCAUUCUCAAACAGGUAAGGCCAAACAGGCAGCUAUCCAAAGGGAAUUUCAGAAAAUAAGGCAGAAAUCUGAAAUACAAACAUGUGACAGCUGGAAGGUUGGCAUUCAAAAGGUAACACUAAAGACGUCCCCACAAUGUAUAGCAAAAUGACUAGAAAUGACAAAUGGGAGGAAAAAAAGAGAGAGAUGAGAAAUGCAGGCAUUGAUCAAUUUGGAAGAAUUCCUCCAGUGGACAGGAAUAGGGCCUUGAAGGAUGAGAAAGGGAAAACUUUAGGUAGAAAUUAACCACAUUGAGAAAAAACAGACUAGCGUGCUUAAUGAGUCUGAUCCUGAUUAAAGAGAGACAGUGCGUAACAUGAAAGAAUGAAGAAUGCAAAUAGCUUCCGACUGAAGGGGAGCCAGGCUCUCUUCUCUCCUAGGUGUGGGGCCUUUCAGCAGGGCGCUGUGCCAGUCAGAUAACGUGAGAGUGCGUAUGGGCAGGGGACGGUGCUCAGAAUUUGUGCUUAGAACUAAACGUCUUCAAGGUUCCUUCAAACACUAAGCCCUGUAAGUCUACUUCCUAGCUCCUUCAAAAUCCCUAUUCCUUUCUACUGCAGGCACAUCAGAAACCAACACACGAGCACAACUGAAAUGUGGCCAGGGUUGAAGAACAAGGCCUACAUCGUUUAAGUACUUACUGACGUAUUUUGGGAGGCCCACAUAGGAAAGCGUGUUAGGAAAGUUUAGGAAGCACAUUAAGGGUGAGCACAGACCAGGCACACCUUCAAUCCCAGCACUUGGGAGACAGAGACAGGGGCAUGGCUAUGCACUGGAGGCCAGCCUGAUCUACAUGGCAGUCACAGUGGCAUAGUGUGACCCUGUCUCCAAAAAAAUAAAUAAAAGUUUGUUUUGCUAAAAACCUUAAAUCUGAGGAUAAUAAAUUUUAGGGACUUACGUGAACUCUGUAAAUCACUAGUAAAUCACGUGACCUUGAACAAAUACUCAACAAGUAGUCUUUAUAUCCAUGUCAAUUAAAUGGGAUCAGGGAUCACUUUUGAGGUCCUUUCCUUCUCAUUAGCCUAUGAUGCUACACAAAUUCAUGCUAAGGGGACUUAUUACUAAACAGACCUCUGAAAAUUGCUUGCUGACACUAUAAUGCAAUAAGGGGGACAGAGAGUUACCAAACUGUGUACAGAAUUAAAUGAGAACUGCUUACCCUUCCAUUUUUACAGAUAUAAUCAAAUAGCUCUCCUCCAGAGACAUAUUCCAUCACCAUGAAAAUAUCAGAUGGUGUACUGAUGACCUGGUACCUGGUGAGAGAAAACAUUAUCUACUAAUAUUAAAACACGUGUAUUCAUCCAUUCAGUAAAGAUUUACUAAGCACCUAUAAGAUACCAGGUACUGUGCUAGCUGCUAGAAGUCUGUGGGGGAGCAAAGCCAAUCUCCUGUUUUUGUUAUGGUCCUGAUGCAGGUGCCAGGAGACAGACAGUAAGCAAGUUUGUUAUGUUCUUGAUGCAGGGGCCAGGACACAGACAGUAAUUAAGUAAGAGGCAGAGCAUGCCAGGAAGGUCACAGAGUACACCAGAGCAGAGCCCCAAGGAAGGGAGGAGCAGACUACCUUGGCCAGGAGGAAGGUGAAGUGGGCAGGGGGAAGGAACAGCCAGGGCCAGGGCCCAGUUGGGAGCCUGCUUGGCACACUUAUGGUAAGGUAAGAGCAAAACAAGCCAGGAGAGAAAACAGGACAUGAAGCUAGUCGUUGGAGACCAAAGAUGCAGAGCUCCACAAGCCGGGAGGGAAGAAAUCUUCGGCCUUUAUUUAAAGGAAUGUGGAAAGCUAUGGGAUGUUUUUAUGCUGGCAGUCACGUCAAAAGAGUAAGCAGUGGCGGUAUGAAGACCGGAGAGAACGCUCAGAAGAUGCCCUUGAGCGGUGAGGUAGCACAGGCCAGUGUGAUGGCGUUAAAGGACGGAGGAAAAGGUCAGAGAUACAUUCUGGAGGAAGAGAUGGAGUGAUGGUGGGAAGAGGGAUAAACAGGAUUGUUAAAGAUGCUCCUACAUCCGUCUUCGUCAUUGUCCUCCCCACCCCCCACCCCACCCCCGGGGUUAAGUGACAAUUAACUGCGAUGAUGGUGAGAACAGUGUAGGAAGAAGAGCUGAGGAGAUGAUGGGGAGAUGAGACCUGGAACAGGUUCUUUGAAAGACCUCUCGGACACCCCAAUGAGUGAGGAGCAGGCACAGGGUCUGGAGUUCAGAGAAUGAGUCUCAAAGCAAGGACUGUACAGUUGGGGGCCAUCAGGACACAUGAUAGAGCCAAACACUUUAAUGAAUGAGAGCUAAAAGCAAAACAACUGUGGAGCCAGCUCCACGAUUCCAGUUUAACGGAGAAGUCCUGGCAGCGUUAAAGUAUAGCCUACAAGGUAACACCGAAGGUAAGAAGUACGUUACCUGUAAGCCUUAGUGAGGCUUUCUCAAAACUACCAUUAGGAUUACUGUCCUUCUGAAAUUCUGGAUUCCUCAAAGCCCGGUCUGUAUGGUCAAGUACAAGCAGGGUACAGAAAAAAGAUUUCUAGUACACAGUCUCUCCUGAGCCUGAUUCCCAGCAUGCAAAAAACUUGAAAUUUAAACUCAAGAACUUCUCGCCUCUUUUUUUUUUUUUUUUUUUUUUUUCCUUUCAGGUGGUACAGGAGACCAAACAGGGCCUGGCACCUGCUACAGAAACUUCUAGUAGCAACCCAACCUGUAAAAACAGUAGCCCAGAGUACUGUCAAAGGGGCCUCUUUCCAGACAACAGGAAGAACAGGAAUACAGUGGAUGUGAGCCAUGCUAAAACCCGAGGGCGGGCCCUGUGACUGGCAGUGAACCGGGGUCAGAGACAAGAGCAGGAAGACACCUCCAGCCUCGCUCUGGUUUGCCAGGUCAGGUGGGUUAAGUACAGGGGUGAGCAGCGGGAUGAGAGGACGAGGCUAAUGAGCUGGGCUUACAGUUUGAUGAUGUGAGGGUGAGGACCAGGCUAAGAGCUGGGCUUACAGUUUGAUGAUGUGAGGGUGAGGACCAGGCUAACGAGCUGGGCUUACAGUUUGAUGAUGUGAGGGAGAGCAGCGGGAUGAGAGGACAGGCUAAGAGCUGGGCUUACAGUUUGAUGAUGUGAGGGUGAGGACAGGCUAAGAGCUGGGCUUACAGUUUGAUGAUGUGAGAAUGAGGACCAGGCUAACGAGCUGGACUUACAGUUUGAUGAUGUGAGGGUGAGCAGCGGGAUGAGAGGACAGGCUAAGAGCUGGGCUUACAGUUUGAUGAUGUGAGGGUGAGCAGCGGGAUGAGAGGACAGGCUAAGAGCUGGGCUUACAGUUUGAUGAUGUGAGGGAGAGGACAGGCUAAGAGCUGGGCUUACAGUUUGAUGAUGUGAGGGUGAGCAGCGGGAUGAGAGGACAGGCUAAGAGCUGGGCUUACAGUUUGAUGAUGUGAGGGUGAGGACCAGGCUAAGAGCUGGGCUUACAGUUUGAUGAUGUGAGGGAGAGGACAGGCUAAGAGCUGGGCUUACAGUUUGAUGAUGUGAGGGAGAGGACAGGCUAAGAGCUGGGCUUACAGUUUGAUGAUGUGAGGGUGAGGACAGGCUAAGAGCUGGGCUUACAGUUUGAUGAUGUGAGGUAGAGGACAGGCUAAGAGCUGGGCUUACAGUUUGAUGAUGUGAGGGAGAGGACAGGCUAAGAGCUGGGCUUACAGUUUGAUGAUGUGAGGGAGAGGACAGGCUAAGAGCUGGGCUUACAGUUUGAUGAUGUGAGGGUGAGGACAGGAUAAGAGCUGGGCUUACAGUUUGAUGAUGUGAGGGUGAGCAGCGGGAUGAGAGGACAGGCUAAGAGCUGGGCUUACAGUUUGAUGAUGUGAGGGAGAGCAGCGGGAUAAGAGCUGGACUUACAGUUUGAUGAUGUGAGGGUGAGCAGCGGGAUGAGAGGACAGGCUAAGAGCUGGGCUUACAGUUUGAUGAUGUGAGGGAGAGCAGUGGGAUAAGAGCUGGACUUAGUUUGAUGAUGUGAGGGUGAGCAGCGGGAUGAGAGGACAGGCUAAGAGCUGGGCUUACAGUUUGAUGAUGUGAGGGUGAGGACAGGCUAAGAGCUGGACUUACAGUUUGAUGAUGUGAGGGAGAGCAGCGGGAUAAGAGGUGGACUUACAGUUUGAUGAUGUGAGGGUGAGCAGCGGGAUAAGAGCUGGGCUUACAGUUUGAUGAUGUGAGGGUGAGGACCAGGCUAAGAGCUGGGCUUACAGUUUGAUGAUGUGAGGGAGAGCAGCAGGAUAAGAGCUGGGCUUACAGUUUUAUGAUGUGAGGGAGAGCAGCAGGAUAAGAGCUGGACUUACAGUUUGAUGAUGUGAGGGGAAGCAGGGGGAUAAGAGGUGGACUUACAGUUUGAUGAUGUGAGGGUGAGCAGCGGGAUGAGAGGACAGGCUAAGAGCUGGGCUUACAGUUUGAUGAUGUGAGGGAGAGGACAGGCUAAGAGUUGGGCUUACAGUUUGAUGAUGUGAGGGAGAGCAGUGGGAUAAGAGCUGGACUUACAGUUUGAUGAUGUGAGGGUGAGGACCAGGCUAAGAGCUGGGCUUACAGUUUGAUGAUGUGAGGGAGAGCAGCGGGAUGAGAGGUGGACUUACAGUUUGAUGAUGUGAGGGAGAGCAGCGGGAUGAGAGGUGGACUUACAGUUUGAUGAUGUGAGGGAGAGCAGCGGGAUGAGAGGUGGACUUACAGUUUGAUGAUGUGAGGGAGAGGACCAGGCUAAGAGCUGGACUUGCAGUUUGAUGAUGUGAGGGAGAGCAGCGGGAUGAGAGGUGGACUUACAGUUUGAUGAUGUGAGGGAGAGCAGCGGGAUGAGAGGUGGACUUACAGUUUGAUGAUGUGAGGGAGAGCAGCGGGAUGAGAGGUGGACUUACAGUUUGAUGAUGUGAGGGAGAGCAGCGGGAUGAGAGGUGGACUUACAGUUUGAUGAUGUGAGGGAGAGGACAGGCUAAGAGCUGGGCUUACAGUUUGAUGAUGUGAGGGUGAGGACCAGGCUAAGAGCUGGGCUUACAGUUUGAUCAUGUGAGGGUGAGCAGCGGGAUAAGAGCUGGACUUACAGUUUGAUGAUGUGAGGGAGAGCAGCGGGAUAAGAGCUGGGCUUACAGUUUGAUGAUGUGAGGGAGAGCAGCGGGAUAAGAGGUGGACUUACAGUUUGAUGAUUUGAGGGAGAGCAGCGGGAUAAGAGCUGGACUUACAGUUUGAUGAUGUGAGGGAGAGCAGAGGGAUAAGAGGUGGACUUACAGUUUGAUGAUGUGAGGGUGCCUGAACAGCUUCAGGUUCUGAAUCUCCCGGCGGAUUUUUCCCACCACGUCAAGGCUCCGAAUCUUCUGCCGGUUGAGUAUCUUCACAGCCACUUUAUGUCCGGUCAACUCGUGCUUGCCCACUGCAGAAGGAAUCAUUUUUAGUGUGUUCGCACCGGUUCUGAUGGAUAAUAUACUUUGGUGUAUUAUACUAGAAAGCUAAACACUCAGAAGAUACUGGAGCAUCUUUGCCGCCCUCCUCCUUAGUUUGACACACACAAGGAACUGCUCACCAAGAGCGGAUUUUAGGAAAAGGGAAUUUGGACCAGUCAUAAGAGAGAAAGAGGAAAAAUUCUUCCUGUAUGCCUUCAGGUACUCAAAUCCCUUUAGCUCACUAUUCAUUUCUCAACUACUGUACAUAGAAAAUGAAACUAUCUUUUAUUGGAAAACCUUCUGUAGAACUGAAGAACAGAGGAACUGGUCUACCACCAUUAAAAUAAUCAUGUGGCAAGGAUCCAGACAUGGUAGCCUAUGCCUGCAAUCGUCAGAUGCACAGUCGGGGGACUGAGAACUAAGGGAAGGCCCAGGCUAUGUGGUAACACUGGAUCUCAAAACAAGAAAAUCAAACAAAAGCCAUAACAUAGAAUAGGUGUAUCUUCCCCUCAGAAAACUGCCCUGCAGGGCCGGAGAGAUGAUGGCUCACCAACAAAGAGCUGUAUACGCAGGAGGCUCUAAAUUCAAAUUCCCACAACACACUUUUAAAAAGAAAAAGAGAAGAACCUAGCAUGAUCCCUGCCUAUCAGCCCAACACUGGGAGAAAGAGCACAGGUUGGCAGAGACAGGGGGAUUCCUGGUGAUACUGGCUAACUACCUAGCUCUAGUUUCAAUAAGAGAUCUUGUCUCAAGGAAACAAAAGCAGAAAAUGAUAAAGCAAGCCAUGUCCUCUGGCCUGACAUACACAUACAGCACACAUAUGCCCAAAACUACAUACACGAACUCCCCUGGGACACUGACAUGAUCCCCUAUCGUUAACAGCCCUGGUGAUUGGCUACUGCACAUGAUCCCCUAUCAUUAACAGCCCCCGUGAUUGGCUACUGCUGCUGCUGUUGUUUUUGUUCUGUUUUCAGUUUUGGCUCAAUGGCAUGUAGUUUCCAUUUUCAAAUAGAAAAUUUAAAAAUACAUGGAUUUUAGGCUAAAGAGAUGGCUCAGUGGCACGAGCUGCGCUUCUCGAGAGUCCAGGUCAGACUCUCGGCACUCACGUGCGACCUGCAACCAUCUAUAACUCCAGUUCCAGGGGAUACGAGAACCUCUUCUAGCCUUCUUGGGCACUAAGUACAGACAUGGUGCAAGGGUAUAUAUGUAGACAAAACAUCUAUGCAAAUAAAAGUAGAUAAAUCAUGUUUAAAGAGAUUCCAUCUUGCCCAGACUCACCCAGACAGUCUAUGUGCACAUAAGAAUUCAGAUACUGCUGCUGAGGCAAAGUCCCCAAAAGUCUGGCGUCUGUGUACCCUUUCUCAGGAACUUAUGGAAAAACAUAGAUACUAUCAAAAUCAGAAGAGAAACAAAAACGUCAGCAAGAAGUCAGCACAUCUAGUGAAGAGAGUGCCAGCUCAGGCUUGAUGUCCUGGUCAUGGGAGCAUUGCUGCUAGCGAUGGUAGCUUCAGGCCAGCAAGGGUUGGCUGCAGCACGGGGUAGGGCCGCUGCCUGGAAAAGCAAACAAAGCCAGCUGUGGUAGUACAUGCUUGAAUUGCCAGCAUGUGAGAAGAGACAGGGAGUUUAAGGUCACUUUGGCUCCAAAGAUAGCUGAAGACCAGCCUUGGUGACUUAGACUCUGUCCCCAAAAGAGCAGGAAUCCAAUGCAGGAGGCAAAUUGAGAAACCUCCAAACGGCGACAGCUGUGCUGGUCUGCACAGCAGCAAACCCAGGCAAGGCAACCCGCAGAGGAGCCAGCGUCCUUAUUUUGAGGCAACAGAGAUAAUCCUAUGCCUUUGAAAGUAUGGGGUCCACAUAAUAGAAGGAGAGAAAUAACUUCCUAAGGCCAUCCUCUCACAAGCACACUGUGGCACACACGCCCCUACCAUGUACAUACACACAUACACACACACACAUUAAUAAGUGUUUCUCAAAAACACUUGAGGUUUAUCCAAAACUGUAGAUAUAAUUUCUUUCAUCAAGUAAGAAACUAGGGUAGGAAGCUCUGAACAUUCUCUUUGACUCAUUUGGGAUUAUAUACUUAGCAUUUAUUGUAAACCAUCCAAUCUAGCCUAGUCCAUGAGUUCCAGGCCAGUGAGAAACCCUGUCUCAAAAACCUAAGUGGACAUCUUUAAUCCCAGCAACUUAGAGAGAGAGGCGGGCCAGCCUGGUCUACAUAGUGAGUUCUAGGCUAGCCCAGGCUACAGACACAUUUCUGGACUACUGUCCUCCCUUCUACCUCUUUGGAGUCCCAGGCUGUUUGUAUCUGUCAGCCUGGAUUCACAGACAGGAAGGAGCCUGGCAUAACUGUCCUCCGAGAGGCUCACAAAGACCCACACCCAAGCAUUACACCAAGUUUGGGAAGUCUGGUGGAAGAGUUAGGGGAAGGACUGAGGUACUCGGAGGACAAACAGACUCCACAAGAAGACCAACAGAGUCAACUAACCUGGACUCACAGGGGCUUCCAGAGAAUCAACCACCAACCAAGGAGCAAGCAAGGGCUGGACCUAGAGACCCUGGACUGUGUAGCAGAUGUGCAGCUUGGUCUUCAAGCAGGUCCCCCCCAAAACUGGGGGAGGGGCUUAACCAGUGGAUCUGGUUCCCCUAACUAGGCUGCCUUGUCUGGCCUCAGUGGGCGAAAAUGUAACUAGUUUUGCAUAAACUUGAGGUGCCAAGGUGGGUUGGUUCCCCAGGAAGGACUUCCGCCUUCUCAGAGAUGAAGGGUCGGGGAGCUGAGAGGAAAGGCAGUGUGAGGAGGGGCUGCGAGAAGAGAGGAUGCUGUGAUAGAGAUGUAAAGUGGAUAAAUAAAUUAUUUAGUGGGGAGAAGAAAAAAGCAAUCUGAGUGUUGGCAGACACCUGUCCUCCUAGCAGAGGAAGCUGAGGCAAAAAGACUGCCAAGAAUGUGAGACUACUCUGGCUACAGAGCAAGCCCGUCUCAAAAUAACAAAGCAGGGUUGCAGAUGUAGCUCAGUUGGUAAAGUACUUGCACAGCACAGACAACAGGCACUGGGUUUGAACUGGGUGUGAUGGUGCCAGCCCACAGGAGGGAGGCAGGAGGAUCACAAGUUCUGGGUCAUCCUCCAAUAUACAGCCAGUUCAAGGUCAGCCUGGGACACAUAAGACUGACAUUUUAAAGAAAAGCUGGGUAUGGUGGCUCAUGCCUAUGAUUUCAACACUUAGAAGUCUGAGACAGGAGGAUUGCCAUGAGUUUAAGGCCAAUAGAAGUUAGCAUGUAAGACCCUUUCUCAGAGAGAGAGAGAGAGAGAGAGAGAGAGAGAUUUUAGCUUGACUCAGCCUGAUGACCUAAGUUCAGUUCCUGGGACCAACAAAGUGGAAGGAAAAAGCAACUCCUCAGAGUUCUCCUCUGACCUCCACUAACACAACAUGGAAGGGUAAGCAGUUCUCAUUUCAUCCUGUACACAGUUUGGUAACUCUCUGUCCCCCUUAUUGCAUUACAGUGUCAGCAAGCAAUUUUCAGAGGUCUGUUUAGUAAUAUGUCCCCUUAGCAUGAAUUUGUGUAGCAUCAUAGGCUAAUGAGAGGGAAAGGACCUCAAAAGUGAUCCCUGAUCCCAUUUAAUUGACAUGGAUAUAAAGCCUACACACACUCAUACACACACACACACACACACACACACACAUGCACACAUCCAUACAUUCACACACAUGUGCACACCCAUAUAGACACAUACACAUGUCCAUACACAUACAAUGUGCACCCCC